GAUGAACGCUGGCGGCGUGCCUAAUACAUGCAAGUCGAGCGAACAGACGAGGAGCUUGCUCCUAUGACGUUAGCGGCGGACGGGUGAGUAACACGUGGAUAACCUACCUAUAAGACUGGGAUAACUUUGGGAAACCGGAGCUAAUACCGGAUAAUAUAUUGAACCGCAUGGUUCAAUCGUUAAAGACGGUUUUGGUGUCAGUUAUAGAUGGCUACGCGCAGCAUUAGCUAGUUGGUAAGGUAAAGGCUUACCAAGGCAACGAGGCGUAGCCGACCUGAGAGGGUGAUCGGCCAGCCGGGAAGAGAGAAUCGGUCCAGACUCCUACGGGAGGCAGCAGUAGGGAAUCUUCCGCGAUGGGCGAAAGCCGGACGGAGCAACGCCGCGUGAGUGAUGAAGGUCUUCGGAUCGGAAAACUCUGUUAUUAGGAAAGAACAAAUGUGUAAGUAACUAGGCACGUCUUGACGGUACCUAAUCAGAAAGCCACGGCUAACUACGUG
rnacentral:rRNA from 1 species